rnacentral:rRNA from 1 species
ACGGGUGAGUAACGCGUGGAUUAUCUACCNACUGGUACGGGACAACAGUUGGAAACGACUGCUAAUACCGUAUACGCUGGUAACGGGAAAGGGGGCCCUCUUCUUUGAAAAGCUCUUCGNCCAGUAGNAUGAAGUCCGGCGUUUCAUUAGCUAGACGGGUGGGGGUAACGGGCCUACCGUGGCAACGAUGAAUAGCAGGCCUGAGAGGGUGGCCUGCCACACUGGGACUGGAACACGGCCCAGACUCCUACGGGAGGCAGCAGUGGGGAAUAUUGCGCAAUGGACGAAAGUCUGACGCAGCGACGCCGCGUGGAGGAUGAAGGUUUUCGGAUCGUAAACUCCUGUCAAGAGGGAAGAAACCUAUCAUGAAUAAUACUCAUAGUAAUUGACGGUACCUCUAGAGGAAGCACCGGCUAAUUCAGUGCCAGCAGCCCGCGGUAAUACUGAAGGUGCAAGCGUUAAUCGGAAUCACUGGGCGUAAAGCGCUCGUAGGUGGCUUUGUAAGUCAGGUGUGAAAGCCCACGGCUCAACCCGUGGAAUUGCACUUGAUACUGCAUCGC